UCGACCUUGAUAGAGAGUAGUCCUAUAAGAUUUGAGAAGCUGAGUCCAUAAGUCUAUGGCCAUAGCAGUGUGAUUAAUAAAAAGAAGUUUUUAUUCAGAAUCACUAUUGGACUUGAGCUGAUCAGAUUUAUCAUAUGACUGAUGAUAGGAUUUGAUGAUUUAUCCAUGACCUGCCAUCUAGUCGGGACUCAUGAUAGAGAGACUGUAUCAUACAUUAACUAUAUCUAAAGGUUUUGUUUUGAUUCUAUUAGA
rnacentral:lncRNA from 1 species